rnacentral:miRNA from 1 species
GUUGACAGAAGAGAGUGAGCAC